UACGUAGGGUGCGAGCGUUAAUCGGAAUUACUGGGCGUAAAGCGUGCGCAGGCGGUUCGUUGUGUCGGCGGUGAAAGCCCCGGGCUCAACCUGGGAAUGGCCGUUGAAACUGGCGAACUGGAGUGUGGCAGAGGGGGAUGGAAUUCCGCGUGUAGCAGUGAAAUGCGUAGAGAUGCGGAGGAACACCGAUGGCGAAGGCAGCCCCCUGGGCUGACACUGACGCUCAGGCACGAAAGCGUGGGGAGCAAACAGG
rnacentral:rRNA from 1 species